CCCCCCGUAGCUCAGGUGGAUAGAGCAGCGGUUUCCUAAACCGCGUGUCGUGCGUUCGAGUCGCGCCGGGGGGA
rnacentral:tRNA from 1 species